CCAGGCAGGCACACACAAGGCACAGCAGGCAGGCAGGCAGGCAGGGCGUGCGGGCGGGCUCAGGGACCAGCACACAAAACUACCGCAGGCUGUGCUGGAACCUUCCCAAAUCCGAAAACAGCCCACCAAUGAAAAGAUUCUGCAAACGCGAUUAAGUUUACAAACACUGACAGGAAACGCUACCGGAAGUGUUCCCCGCCGGAGUGUUCUGAUUGGUCACAGGGGUAGCCAUGUGAUUGCCGCUCAAUGACCUUUGUGUGCGGCCAUGUUAGUAAGGGACUGAUGACGUAAGAGGCACGCUUCAGGAAAAUACUGGCCUGAACGCGUCAGUGUGCUUUCCAUUCUUUAGUCAAGGAACAUGUUUUGCAUUAGGGAAAACGAAAAUAAAAACAAAAUAUCACCAAAGGUA